GACGAACGCUGGCGGCGUGCUUAACACAUGCAAGUCGAACGGUGAAGCGCCUUCCUUUUUGGUGGGUGUGGAUGAGUGGCGAACGGGUGAGUAACACGUGAGUAACCUGCCCCCUUCUUCUGGAUAACCGCAUGAAAGUGUUGCUAAUACGGGAUUUUCUGGGUCUGUCGCAUGAUGGGUCUGGGAAAGAUAUUGGUUCGGUGGGGGAUGGGCACGCGGCCUAUCAGCUUGUUGGUGGGGUGGUGGCCUACCAAGGCGGUGACGGGUAGCCGGCCUGAGAGGAUGGAUGGUCGAACUGGGACUGAGACCCGGCCCAGUCGGCCUCGGGAAGCACCAGGGGGGCAGAUUGCACAAUGAGUGCAAGGCUUAAGCAGCGAAGCCGAGUGCGGGACGGGCGCCGUCGGGUUAUGAACCACUUUCUCAAGUGCAGCAAGCCUGCCUCGUUUGUGGGAGGGUUAAAGGUAGCUGAAUAGAAGCGCCGGCUAACUACGUG
rnacentral:rRNA from 1 species